rnacentral:rRNA from 1 species
UACGUAGGGGGCAAGCGUUGUCCGGAUUUAUUGGGCGUAAAGAGCGUGUAGGCGGCCAGGUAGGUCAGCUGUGAAAACUCGAGGCUCAACCUCGAGACGUCGGUUGAAACCAUCUGGCUAGAGUCCGGAAGAGGAGAGUGGAAUUCCUGGUGUAGCGGUGAAAUGCGCAGAUAUCAGGAAGAACACCCGUGGCGAAGGCAGCUCUCUGGGACGGUACUGACGCUGAGACGCGAAAGCGUGGGGAGCGAACAGG